AGGGGAAAAAGUCAGUCAGCUUUGCUACUACUUCAGUUUAUUCCACCUGUCUAAAGGGUAAAGAGACUUCAAACAUGUCCGUGAAAACCCUUCCUCAAGGUUUGCCAGCUCCCAUUAGCAACUUGGAAAUAAAAUACACAAAGAUUUUCAUAAACAAUGAAUGGCACAAUUCUGUAAGUGGAAAAAAAUUUCCUGUCUACAAUCCAGCUACUGGAGAGAAAAUAUGUGAGGUGGAAGAAGGAGAUAAGGAAGAUGUGAACAAGGCUGUGAAAGCAGCAAAAGAAGCUUUCCAGAUAGGGUCUGCAUGGCGAAGGCUGGAUGCUUCUGAAAGAGGCAGGAUGCUUAAUAGGUUGGCUGACCUUGUGGAACGUGAUAGGUUGAUUCUAAGCACCAUGGAAUCUAUUGACGGUGGAAAGCCAUUUGCUGCAUCCUAUUAUGGAGAUAUACCUGGAGCUAUUAAAUCACUGCGCUACUGUGCAGGAUGGGCUGACAAAGUCCAAGGCCGUACAAUACCAAUGGAUGGGGACUAUUUUACUUUUACAAGACAUGAGCCUGUUGGAGUGUGUGGUCAAAUAAUCCCAUGGAACUUUCCGUUGUUGAUGUUUUCUUGGAAAAUUGCUCCUGCUUUAUGCUGUGGUAACACAGUUGUCAUCAAGCCAGCUGAACAAACUCCACUGACUGCUAUCUACAUGGGGUCUUUAAUAAAGGAGGCAGGAAUUCCUCCUGGGGUAGUGAAUAUUGUACCAGGAUAUGGACCAACAGCCGGAGCAGCUAUAUCUUAUCAUAUGGAUAUAGACAAAGUGGCUUUCACUGGUUCAACAGAGGUUGGAAAGCUGGUAAAAGAAGCAGCAGGAAAGAGCAACCUUAAAAGAGUCACACUUGAACUUGGUGGAAAAAGCCCUAACAUCAUUUUUGCAGAUGCAGACUUGGAUUUGGCAGUUGAGCAUGCACACAAUGGCCUGUUCUAUCAUCAGGGCCAGUGUUGCAUAGCAGGAUCCAGGAUCUUUGUUGAAGAACCAAUCUAUGAUGAAUUUGUGCGUAAGAGUGUUGAAAGGGCCAAAAAACGUGUACUUGGAGAUCCUCUUACUCCUGGUGUAUGCCAAGGACCACAGAUUGACAAAGAACAAUACAACAAAAUCCUUGAAUUGAUUGAGAGUGGAAAGAAAGAAGGCGCAAAGUUGGAAUGUGGGGGAAGUGCAUGGGGUGAGAAAGGUUUCUAUAUUAGCCCCACAGUCUUUUCAGAUGUGAAGGAUGAUAUGCGUAUAGCCAAAGAAGAAAUUUUUGGGCCUGUGCAACAAAUCCUGAAGUUUAAAACAAUUGACGAAGUUAUUAAGAGGGCAAACAAUACCAACUAUGGAUUAGCUGCAGGAGUUUUCACCAAAGAUAUGGACAAAGCAAUAUUAAUGUCUACAGCUCUUCAGGCUGGAACUGUUUGGAUAAAUUGCUACAGUGCCAUGUCUCCACAAAGCCCUUUCGGCGGGUUUAAGAUGUCCGGAAAUGGCCGUGAAAUGGGCGAAUAUGGCCUGCAUGAAUACACUGAAGUCAAGACGGUUAUCAUGAACAUUUCACAGAAGAAUUCCUAAAGAUGUCACGUCACCAAUAUCCUGAAUGCCUGGAGGAUCGUGGAAACACUGUCAUAUUUGUGUGCAUAAAUCUCAUGAUAACAACAGCUGCAAAUAUUUGUGGUGCUGGUAAAAAAAAAAAAAAUCUUUAUUAUAGUGAAGUUGACCACGGUAUCAAUUGUCAAUAAGUCUGGAAAACAAUAGACUUUUGUUCUACUGAUCCUGCAGUGCAUUAAUACAUUAUCACGGUUGUAGAGAAAUCAUAUAUACCCGCCGUGUUAUGCUGCCCUCUGUCACAGUCCUGUGUUGUAUGUUCUGGUGCAGAAAUCGUUCAAUGAUUUUAAUCAAGCCUCAUUUAACCCCAUGAACUAUAUUGAAACAUAUCAGAAAAGUCUCUUUGCAAAGAUAAAUAUCCAACAAGGGAAAAAAACCACUGCAAACUGCUGCCAUAUUUAUAAAGCAAAUAUAUUAAGAACAGGAAAGUCAUUUGAGUUUGAUGAUAAAUCUGCAACCACCAUUUGCACUACUUUAACUCUUUUAAAUAUGGCUUCUAGUUUUACAGAAAAUGGUGUCACUCUAGAAGGGAAUCCAGCUACGAUCAGCUGCUAUAUGAAAUGCUUGAAUGCAGAACACGAAAACCAAUUCCUUUUUAUUGGGUAGAUGCUACAAAUAACAGCUUUUAAAAUGUAUUAUGUAUUGAUUUUUCUCUCCAUUUGGAAUUGAAGAUAAUGUGAAUUUAAUUUUUAAUUCAAAUGUUCCAUUGUGCUUGGCAGUUGGAUCAAAUACGAUGUAAUAAAUAUUCUGUUGUUCUAUCGGA